UUUCAUGUGAUGUAACAACAGGACAGCUAGCGUGGCCUGAGCCCCCAUCCAUGCCAAGAACAUCUCGUUGAACCCUUCCAACAGCCGUAAGAGCAGUCAAGCACUGGGAAGCAUCACCCCCGGAGUCUCCUCCAGCCGCCCUCAGACUCCACGAACAGCAUCGGGAAGAUCCUGACUCCCGCCACCCACCCCCAGCCUCCUCCUGAGCCCUCGUGGUGGCUGCUGUGACGCAUCGCCCAGAGCCCCCUUCAGAAAUGGAGGACGUGCCCCCUGGCUGCAGAAGAGCUGCAGACACACAGCCCUCACCUGUCAUCCCGCUUCCAGAGAUUGCCCAGCUGGGGGAGCCGCCUCACCCACGACCACACCCCCUCCCCGGGGCGGUCCGCCGCCAGUGAUCCACACAGGAGUAAGAUUGCCAUCCGUAUUUUAUCGCUGAGACCGCUAAGGAGCAGAAAAGGUCAGCCUGCGCCUGAGUCACCCGGGGAGGUCACGGUUUGUGCUGAGGUUCCUAGCUGAUGUUGCUGCUGGUGGUCACUGGGAGCCCGCAGCCUAGAAACCCUUCCUUGUGUUCAGGAGACGGACCCAGGCCCGUAGGAAGAGCCGGCCCACCAGGAUGCAGGCCCCCAGGGCGAUGGCGACGACGGGCCAGGAGCCGUUUCAACCCUUCACGUGCCCCCACCCACCGGAUCCACAGAGCAGCUCCGUGAGGUGGAGGCCCUUUCAAUAUAACUUCCUGCUGGAGAGGAGGACCCACAUCCGGCCGGGAGAAGCCCACGUCUUCGCCCCGCACUCAUGGCGAUGGACAGAGGGGAGCCAGGUGGCACUUUUUGGGUCACCCUUAGGACAGCCUUCUGAGGUGACCCGCCAUGUCUCUGCAGUGUGUGGACCUGACCACCCUCUGUUCAGCUUUGUGACGGCAGGAGACAGUGUUCAAAUGCGGCCGCCAAUGAUUCUUCCCUUCCAAGAGUGCACAUGCCGCUCUUCCCGCCAGAAGGCGGAGUUUCUCCCCCUCCCGUCACACUGGGGCUGGCCUGCUUUGGGCCAUAGAGUGUGGAGGAGGUGACGCCAUGCUGGUGCCGGGCCUGGCCCUUGAGAGUCCCUUUCGCCCCCCUGGAACCCUGUCGCUGAGCUGUGAGGAGGUCCUGGCUGUGCUGCUGGAGAAGGAGGCUGUGCAGAGAGGCCGCGGGGGAUGAGGUGCCACAUGGACAGAGGGGCCCCGAGGCGGGAGAGCUCACGUGUGCCAGCCGACAGGCAGCCCAUGUGACGGGGGUCUUCUCAGGCCUUGCGCCCAUCACCAACUGAACGCGGCUGUGUGCGUGGUUUCAGCUGACUGACGCGGAGCAGAAGGCCAGCCCAGUCAACUGGAGACUCACGAGAAAUAGUAAAUCACUGUGGCUUUAAGACACUAAGUUCUGGAGCGUUCGUUACACAGCGAUAGUUCACUGAAACAGGAGCCUUUGCUGAACCGAGACACCAGGAGCCAGGAAACCAGGAAACUACGUCUCCCGUCAGAGUCUCACUCGCUGUGAAAAUGGCGUAUCUCAGAUAGGGGCUAUUCCUGCAACCUGGAUCCUGGAUCCCGCGAGUGGAGGAGAGAUGCAGAUGCUGUAGUUGCCACAGGCGACUGUAAUGUGAGUGGUAAAUGUCUGGCUGUUGUGAGAUGCUAAAAUUGAGGGGCUGUUUGUUACUGCAGCAUAGCAAGUGAAGACUGCCUGCUACAAAGAGGGAGGUCUGGAGGCAGGGAGACACGCUGAGAUGAUGGUGGAUUGGUCUAAGGCAGAAGAAGGGGAAAUGGAAGGUGGAGUGGAGAGGGCGUGGUGACUUACAGGCUAUGGGGCUGGACCAAGAGGGAGUUGUCAAGAAACUCCAGGAACCGUCCCCUGAUUGUGAGAUGCUCAACAGAGGGCAGCAGGUCAUCAGAAAAGGGGUGAGUGAAGAAUGCCCUAGAUCAGCCAGAAGCGUCCGCACGGAGGGGGCAUCCGGUGGAGGGGUCUUGGAAGGUGGGGCUGCGUUAAAUGAUCUACUGCCAGAGGGGCUCAGCCCUGGGGGCCACUGACCUGGCUCAGGAUGAAGUGCUUGGGAAUUCAUUCAUUCAUCCAUCAUUUAUUCAUUCAACCAACCAGCAUUUAUGGAGUACUUACUGUGUGCUAGGCACUUUCCUAACAUUGGAAAUAUAGGACUGAACAAAACAAAGAUGUCACCCUCAGGGAGUUUAAAGUUUCGUGGAUGGAGAGAGGCAAUAAACAAGGAACUCACACUGGGAUCUCCCCUCAACUCCUGCCCACCCCCUGCUCCACCUCGGAGGCUCUUUCUCCACCAUUCUCUGCCGGGACCUCUGCUGGAACCUUCUUGGCACCACUCACAGCCUUACCUGGGGACUGUGUUCUGAGUUUGGCUGACGGGUUGAAACUCCUUCCCCACCCCCGCCCGGCCCAUCUCUGUGUGUCGGCCUCGGCAGUCCCAUCCUGUGUGGACGCUGGCCCUUCACAUGUGGAUGGAGGUGUCACUAAACAAAGGCCACCUUGAGGAGCAUCCAGAGACUGCCAGGCCUCUGCAAGCUGCACCUUCGGGCACCAGGGCCUGGUGUGUCCUCAAGAUCUGAAGAUUCUUCACGCUUCUGCUGACACCCUCCAGGAUGGAGGCCAUAAAACAGAGUCAGGGGACAUCAGAUUCCCUUCCCGGGGUGGUAAGUGCAGCAGAACAGAAACCCUCCUAGUGACGGAAAACGCAGUUUCAUUUUUAUUGUUGAAAAAUGUACGCAAAAUUUCCAUGAUACAAGACACUUGUUAUUAGCCAGUAACUUUUAUUAUGAGGCUUUUAUUUUCCUCGAAAAGUAAAAAUCAAUAAGAGUGUUUUCCAAGGUUGGGCGAAGACUGGUCAGACAGAGGCCAAGGGGAGAUUUGUCGCUGGAGUUGGUCUCUGGCUGAGCACAUUGAGGGGACUCCUGGGCUGCCUUCCUUGUUGUGGUCACCACAGACCCUGGGUACGUGUCCACUGAUGGGCUGCGGGGCCUUGGGCAAUUCCACUCCCUGCUCUGGGCCUCGGUUUCCUCUCCUGUAAGAAAAGGGCCUCCUGGAAACGGGCACAAUCAGACGUUGCUGGUGUCAGAAUUGCCACAGCCGCUUUCGAGGGCUACUCGGCGACGAUAUCCAGCAGAACGGCAGAGGCAGCCUAACCCGAGACCCAGCGGUUCCACGUCGAGGUUUCUACCCUGGGAAAGGCUGGCGUGUGCAAGGAUAUUCACUACAGCCUCAACUGCAGUGAGAAACAAAUGAAACAACCUAAAUUUCAGACUAUGAGGGGGGAGAGUGAGUCAAAUGUAGUAUGUUCGCAUAAUGAGAUUAAAAGCAAUGAAGAGGAAUGAGCCAGGUUCACGCAGCGAUGUGGACAAAGCUGAAGGUCAUCACUGAAUGAGCGAGUUGCAGAAAACCUUGAAGAAUGGUUUGCGGGAUAUUCCACCCCUUACGCGAGUCAGCACAUACACAGCGAUACUACAGGUCAUCACGGAUUCCCGCGUCUACACAAACGUUUAAGAAGUGAGCGGGAAGGGACACCUCCAAUUCGUGACAGCGGCUGUCUUGACAGGAGGAAAGGAAAUGGAACCGGGAAAGAGGGAAAAAGGGACUUUGAAUCUAACUGUAAAGUCAUAUAAAUACACAUAGAGAUGAAGCUCUUUUUUUUAAUAAAAGAAAACAAAGCAAGU
ensembl:lncRNA